GAUGAACGCUGGCGGCGUGCCUAAUACAUGCAAGUCGAGCGAACGGACGAGAAGCUUGCUUCUCUGAUGUUAGCGGCGGACGGGUGAGUAACACGUGGAUAACCUACCUAUAAGACUGGGAUAACUUCGGGAAACCGGAGCUAAUACCGGAUAAUAUUUUGAACCGCAUGGUUCAAAAGUGAAAGACGGUCUUGCUGUCACUUAUAGAUGGAUCCGCGCUGCAUUAGCUAGUUGGUAAGGUAACGGCUUACCAAGGCAACGAUGCAUAGCCGACCUGAGAGGAUGAUCGGCCACACUGGAACUGAGACACGGUCCAGACUCCUACGGGAGGCAGCAGUAGGGAAUCUUCCGCAAUGGGCGAAAGCCUGACGGAGCAACGCCGCGUGAGUGAUGAAGGUCUUCGGAUCGUAAAACUCUGUUAUUAGGGAAGAACAUAUGUGUAAGUAACUGUGCACAUCUUGACGGUACCUAAACAGAAAGCCACGGCUAACUUCGUG
rnacentral:rRNA from 1 species